AAUGAACGCUGGCGGCGGGCCUAAUACAUGCAAGUCGAGCGCAGAGUCGGAAGGGUGGGUAAUGACUAGUAAUCAGCCUGGUAGUGGGGGAUAACGUCCGGGAAGGGGCGCUUAUACCGCAUACUAGCAAGGCGGCCUAGGUCGGAUUAGCUAGUUGGUGGGGUAAAGGCCUACCAAGGCGACGAUACGUAACCGGUCUGAGAGGAUGAUCAGUCACACUGGAACUGAGACACGGCCCAGACUCCUACGGGAGGCAGCAGUGGGGAAUAUUGGAAAAUGGGCGAAAGCCUGAUCCAGCCAUGACGCGUGUGUGAAGAAGGUUUUCGGAUUGUAAAGCACUUUAAGUUGGUAGGCGUUACCAACACAAUAAGCACCGGCUAACUACGUGCCAGCAGCCGCGGUAAUAC
rnacentral:rRNA from 1 species